rnacentral:rRNA from 1 species
CCUACGGGUGGCAGCAGUGAGGAAUAUUGGUCAAUGGACGCAAGUCUGAACCAGCCACGCCGCGUGCAGGAAGACGGCUCUAUGAGUUGUAAACUGCUUUUGUACGAGGGUAAACGCAGAUACGCGUAUCUUUCUGCAAGUAUCGUACGAAUACGGAUAGCCUAACUCCACGCCAGCAGCCGCGGUAAUACGGAGGGUUCAAGCGUUAUCCGGAUUUAUUGGGUUUAAGGGGUGCGUAGGCGGUCGGAUAAGUUAGAGGUGAAAUCCCGAGGCUCAACUUCGGAAUUGCAUCUGAUACUGUUCGGCUAGAGAGUAGUUGCGGUAGGCGGAAUGUAAGGUGUAGCGGUGAAAUGCUUAGAGAUCAUACAGAACACCGAUUGCGAAGGCAGCUUACCAAGCUACUUCUGACGUUGAGGCACGAAAGCGUGGGGAGCAAACAGGAUUAGAUACCCCGGUAGUC